CCCCUAGAUGUUCUGGGCCGCACGCGCGCUACACUGAACAGUUCAACAAGUCUUAACCUUGGCCGAUAGGUCUGGGUAAUCUUUGAACGCUGUUCGUGAUUGGGAUAGACCUUUGCAAUUAUGGGUCUUCAACGAGGAAUUCCUAGUAAACGCAAGUCAUCAGCUUGCAUUGAUUACGUCCCUGCCCUUUGUACACACCGCUCGUCGCACCUACCGAUUGAAUGGUCCGGUGAAAUCUCGGGACGGCGGCUUGGUCGCUUGCGUCCGACUGCUGAAACUUGAUUAAACCAUAUCAUUUAGAGGAAGGUGAAGUCGUANCA
rnacentral:rRNA from 1 species